ensembl:lncRNA
AUUCCUCCUCCCGGUUUCUCCCAGCCUGGAUGUCUCAUUCCGGGAUUGGCUGCCGUGGUUACUCAUUCUUUCUCCCUCUCGUCCCCACUUCACUGCAAAGAAAACAGAACAGGCCUCCCCGCCGGAGAGGGGCUGCCGUGGAGAAGCAGACAGGCAGCUCCCCACCCUACAACCCUUCCUGGGAGAGGGGGCGUCCGGCCCCGUGUGCGUGUUUGCGGUCCUCAGAGACCCUGCUGGUUCAAGGGCCCCCGUUUGCACGUACUUGGGAGGAGGGUUUCCGGCCUCCACACCUUUCCCCUGGGCACUAGAAGACCCACUCCAGGGGUAGGCUGGCCCCACUGAGGACGCUUCGAGACUUAGAGACACGCAUGGCCCCGACUGUAAGGUCUCUUGAUCGCUGCUCCCUCCCCUCAUCACCGAGGCCCAGGCUGGACGGGGCUUUGCGCUCACAUCCCAGGGCACAGCUGGGCAAGUGGACAAAGGCAUCAGGACAGGAAACCAUCAACAAGAGCGGCACGAAAUCUCUGGCUGGCCAGACGGUGCUUCCUGCCCGGGGCUCUCACGUCCAGACAACUGUAAAAUUUAUCCUUUGAGCCCAGACACUGCGGUGGGUGACAGGGGCCUCUUACAGUCCUGACGGGACAGCAGCAUCGGCCACGGCGGUCCUGGGCACUCGCUAUCCCGCAGCCAGGCCUUUCCUGGCACAGGACCCAGAGAAACGUGUGUCUCCCGGAGAACCCAUUUCUCCUACACAUUCAGGCUGCCAACCUCUACUCUCAUCUCUGCUGGGAAUUCAAGAAGCAAGACCCUGGCCCAGGGAGCCUCAGGGAACGGGCAAGGACCACUGUCAGGAGAAUGUGGAUGCUGCCUUGAGCACCGGACAGAGGACGCCAAGAGGAAGCCAGCGCUGUGGGGGCUCGGAGAGGCGCCUCACCUGCCAGAGAGGGUGCCGCUCAGGCUCAGCCCCUCAGGGGCUCUGGAGGAGAGACUCCAUGGGAAGGAAGAGGUUUGGGGUGAAUGCAGAGACCCAGGAGGAAAAGCUGCCUGAGAGGAGUCCCAGAGGGGCGAGUGCGUCGGCCCUGGGAGUCGCCAGAAAGCUCCUGCCCUUGCUGACCUUCCUCUCUUCGCUGUCACCCCGAGUCCCCACUCCUGGAGGGGGACCCCGCGUUACCUCCACGGGCCGUCGGCCGGGGGGCACCUCCUCACUGGCUCCCAGAGAAGUUUGUUGAAUACACGGCAGGCAAGCACUCUACCCUAUUCUUCUGAGAUGUAAACGCAGGCUCAGGACUUUGAUUAUCAUUAUUAAUAGUAGAGUCCUUUUCUAUAAUAUUUUUAUUGUGUCUGACACAAAAAGUGAGCCCAUAAGGUGACACGCCGGCCUCUUGCUGGACACACAGGGCAUCCUGUUUAACCCUCACGACCAUCCCGCUGGUGGCUGUCCUCGUCCUGGUUUGCGGAUGAGGUGCCGCAAGGCCAGAAACCCACCAGGUCUCAGCUGACGGGUGAGAAGCUGAGAUCUGCCAGGAUGACCCGAUACUCCGAAUUCUCUAAAUUCCACCCUCAUAACCACAACCCUCCCUAGGCAGGGAGGCCUGACUUUGCGUUACUCAUAAGUUGGCGAGGGACGGCUGACUCAGUCACCCCUGGGAGCAGCAGCAGGCAGCCGGG